rnacentral:rRNA from 1 species
CUAGUACAGUUCAGAGUUUGAUCCUGGCUCAGGACGAACGCUGGCGGCGUGCUUAACACAUGCAAGUCGAACGAUGAAGCGGUACUUGUACCGUGGAUUAGUGGCGAACGGGUGAGUAACACGUGAGUAACCUGCCCUUCACUCUGGGAUAACUCCGGGAAACCGGUGCUAAUACUGGAUAUGACCCUGGCCCGCAUGGGCGUGGGGUGGAAAGUUUUUCGGUGGAGGAUGGACUCGCGGCCUAUCAGCUUGUUGGUGGGGUAAUGGCCUACCAAGGCGACGACGGGUAGCCGGCCUGAGAGGGCGACCGGCCACACUGGGACUGAGACACGGCCCAG